AACUUUUGGCAAUGGAUCAAUUGGUUCUCGCAUCGAAGAAGAACGCAGCGAAAUGCGAUAAGUAAUGGGAAUUGCAGAAUUCAGUGAAUCAUCGAAUCUUUGAACGAACAUUGCGCCCCUUGGUAUUCCGAGGGGCAUGCCUGUUCGAGCGUCAUUACACCACUCAAGCACUGCUUGGUAUUGGGCAUCGUCCGUCGAAAGGCGGGCGUGCCUCAAAGACCUCGGCGGGGUUUCUCCAACUUCGGGCGUAGUAGAGUUAAAUCAAAACGUCUUAUAAGCUUGGUGAGAUCUCAUUGCCGUUAAACCUUUUAUUUUUCAGGUUGACCUCGGAUCAGGUAGGGAUACCCGCUGAACUUAAGCAUAUCAAUAAGCGGAGGC
rnacentral:misc_RNA from 1 species